AAUGAACGCUAGCGGCAGGCCUAAUACAUGCAAGUCGAACGGUGUCUUCGGACAUAGUGGCGCACGGGUGCGUAACACGUAUGCAACCUACCUUACAUUGGGGGAUAGCCUUUCGAAAGGGAGAUUAAUACCGCAUAAGACAGUAGCUGGGCAUCAAGCAGCUGUUAAAGAUUUAUCGAUGUAAGCUGGGCAUGCGUCCAAUUAGCUAGUUGGUGAGGUAACGGCUCACCAAGGCAAUGAUUGGUAGGGGAACUGAGAGGUCAAUCCCCCACACUGGCACUGAGAUACGGGCCAGACUCCUACGGGAGGCAGCAGUAGGGAAUAUUGGGCAAUGGACGCAAGUCUGACCCAGCCAUGCCGCGUGCAGGAUGAAGGCGUUAUGCGUUGUAAACUGCUUUUAUACAGGAAGAAACGACUCUUGCGAGAGGCAUUGACGGUACUGUAUGAAUAAGCACCGGCUAACUCCGUGCCAGCAGCCGCCGUAAAAC
rnacentral:rRNA from 1 species